ACUCUUUAUCCAUGAUCCAUGAGAUGUGAUCUUCAGUCUACAAACAUAAUAGUCUUAAUGCUUUAAUGUUAUCCCACUUCACACUAAAGCUCGACUACGGAUACUUUAAGGAUAAUGUCCUUAUGUUUAAUGUGUUCUCAUGAUUAAGUCACACUUAAUACAUUAAACGGACUAUCUAUUCUAGGGACAUUAUUAAUCAACCAUAAUAAAGAAAAUGCCUUUAAAUAAUUCGAUACAAGUACCAAAAGUAUUGGCCUCUAG
rnacentral:lncRNA from 1 species